rnacentral:rRNA from 1 species
GAACGAGAAAGUGGAGCAAUCCAUGAGUACAGUGGCGUACGGGUGAGUAACACGUGACUAACCUACCCUCGAGUGGGGAAUAACCUCGGGAAACCGGGGCUAAUACCGCAUAACAUCUACGGAUCGAAUGCGUAAGCAGCUUGAGGAGGGGGUCGCGGCCGAUUAGCUAGUUGGUGGGGUAAUGGCCCACCAAGGCAAUGAUCGGUAGCCGGCCUGAGAGGGCGCACGGCCACACUGGAACUGAAACACGGUCCAGACUCCUACGGGAGGCAGCAGUGGGGAAUUUUGCGCAAUGGGGGAAACCCUGACGCAGCAACGCCGCGUGGAGGAUGAAGCCCUUUGGGGCGUANACUCCUUUCGAUCGGGACGAUUAUGACGGUACCGGAUGAAGAAGCACCGGCUAACUCUGUG